CCUCCACUUCCAAUUAUUUUCUUCAUGCACUGUAGCUCCAGGAGCGGCCAAUGCUAUUCCGAAGUUUAAACUAUUAAUUGCUCUCAAUUUUCAAUUAAUUAUUAUCAUUCUCUCGUAGAUACAGGUUACGUAACCAUUUUGCCAUUUCUAAUUGGAAAAUUUGAUAAAUAUUUGGAUGAAUACUCUUGUUUAAAGAGAAAAAGGACAUCAAUAAGUGAAUAUUAAUGUAACUCAUCAUUUAAACAUAUUCUGCACCAUGAAAUAAUCAAAGACAUGACACACUGAACGCCAUUUUCACACCAGCUCUUUCUUUUUUUUUCCUUAUUUUCUUUUUCUCUUU
rnacentral:lncRNA from 1 species